rnacentral:misc_RNA from 1 species
GAAAGAAGGCAUGUUCAACAAUGCGAAUGUUCUUUUUCGAACUAAAUUUGUCGAUGGUGUUUCAACUGUCCAGAGGACUGUUGCUGCUAAGCAGAACAAAUGAUUGCUAUUAUAUUACCAGGUUGUAUCGGUCUACUUUGUUGGAGUUUUAUUAUUUUCAUUCAUAUGUUUGAUGGAGUUAUUGUUGUAACUAAUGUUCUGAAGUUGUCCACUAAUGCUUACUUAAUAUGUAAUUAAUAUUACACUGUUGUAAGUGUAACGCAAAGUUCUAAUUUUCUAAAAUUCAUGUUUUCCAAUUUUUGUGGUUUGUAAUUCAACAUACCACCAUGAUGCUCAGUUC